rnacentral:rRNA from 1 species
UACCGAGGGUGCGAGCGUUGUCCGGAAUCCCUGGGCGUAAAGGGCGCGUAGGCGGCUCGGUAAGCGUGCGGUGAAAGCCCGGGGCUCAACCCCGGGUCGGCCGUGCGAACUGCGGAGCUGGAGCACUGUAGAGGCAGGUGGAAUUCCGGGUGUAGCGGUGGAAUGCGUAGAGAUCCGGAGGAACCCCAGAGGCGAAGGCGGCGCCCUGGCUCGCAACUGACGCUCAGACACGACAGCAUGGGGAGCGAACGGG